CCCGCCUUCUGAUCUGUGAGAGAAGGGGAGGAAGGGAACUGUUGCAAGCCUGUUGCUAUGGGCACGCAGCAGCAGGCUGAGCUGGUCGUGUGGCUGGGAUCCUGCCGCAUCAGCUGCUGCACGGAUUGAAUCGAAUUUGGAGAAUGAAGUCCAGCCUAAAGCAUAUGGUUCCCCCAGUGAGUAGGGACAGAAUAAUCUCCCAGUUUCCUAAGUGGUACACACCCGAGGCCUGUCUGCAGUUUAAAGAGCACUUCCAUGCACAGGUCAGAACUGCUUGUCAGCAGAGCACUGGAACAGUUGGGCUGAAAAUAUCCAAAGUGGUUGUGGUAGGAGACCUGUAUGUUGGGAAAACUAGCCUCAUAAACAGAUUUUGUAAAGAUAAUUUUGACCGACAUUACAAGGCGACCAUUGGAGUGGAUUUUGAAAUUGAACGUUUUGAAAUAGUAGGAAUACCAUAUAAUCUCCAGAUAUGGGACACAGCAGGUCAGGAAAAGUUCAAGUGCAUUGCAUCUGCUUACUACCGAGGAGCAGAGGUUAUAAUAACAGUGUUUGAUCUGGCUGAUAUCCAGACUUUGGAUCACACCAAACAGUGGCUGGAAGAUGCUUUGAGGGAGAAUGGGCCAGAUUCCAGCUUCAUAUUUCUGGUCGGAACAAAAAAAGAUUUGGUGUCAGAUGCUGUGUGUGAAAGGACAGAGAUAGAUGCUAUCCGCUUUGCCAAUGAGAUGCAGGCAGAAUACUGGUCGGUUUCAGCCAAAACAGGGGAAAAUGUCAACGAGUUCUUUUCCCGAGUUGCUGCCUUGGCCUUUGAACAGUCCAUGAUAAAGGAGCUGGAAAAGACCGUGGGGCAUGUGGCUCAAAUUGGGACGGGAAACCUCAUCAAACUGGAAAAGAACCUGAUGGAAAUCCCAGAAGGCAACACUCAAGCCAGUCCAAGUUGCUGCUGACUGUCAACUGCUUCUGCAAGUGCCUUACUUCUCUGUAGUCCUGCAUAGAGCACCUGCAACAACAAAAGCUCUCAGAAUAAUGUAACAUGAUUCUGGAACCAUAUGCAGUCUCAGUCAUGAACUGUUCAUCUCUGUCUGUGGUAGGAACUCUGAGCUGGUAAGGUUAGAUUCAGUGCUGCUGCUAAACUUGUAGUCACUCUUUCUGCUUUUUACUGGACAAGAUUAAUUUGAUCACGUUAUGCUGGGAGCAAUUUGCUCCCACUGCAUACUGGAAGCUGUAAUAGUAGAGAAUAGUUUUUGCCAUUUUGUGAAAAGUUUUUAAAAGUACGUGUGCGUUUAGAGAGGUGGGAAAAGAGGUUCUCCCAAGAAGGACACGUGCUCAGUAAGACCUACAGUAUUGCUGUAUGAAGAUGUCGUUACUGAAUGCUACUGUAGAACCUGCUAUCUGGACAUCUGCGUGUACUUGGUGUGCGGCUGGAUCAAAAUCAUUGCCCCAGUUCAUGGCUUUUCAAAUACCCUUUAACAUAACCUUGUGCAAUCAGUUAUUUAGAAAUUGCAAUCAUUGUCUAAUAGAGAGAGAUUAUCUCUGGGCACCCCUUAAUUUUACAUAAGUAAAGCAGCUUUAGAAAACUCUUCCGCUCUUGGGCAGCAAUGACUGAUGCCAAAAGAUUCUGCUGUUUUAGAAGUCGUUCCUGCUGACAAAUGACAUUGCCAGAAAUGAAAUGACAAAUAACAUUGUUGGAAAUUACUGUAAUAACUAUUUGCUCAGUAUAUGGUGAAACGGUGUUAGUAUGAUUGAUUUUGGUAAUUAGGUUUCAACUGCAAAAAGUAGAAAAGAAGUUAAAAGGAUAAAUAAAAAUCCCAUAAAAGUUAUAGGGAAAUGAAAUAAAUGCAUCUCACUAAACAGAAAGACUGCUUCUCUAGAAAACUCUUUAUCAGCUGCUUAUGACUUUAUAAUUCUAAAAUUCAAAUCCAGCAUUACAUGCUAUACUGGCAUAAGAAAGAGUGAAAUGUUUUUUGUAAUGUUCUAGAUUUCUUAACUGCAACUGUUUUAAAUGUGGAGAGACAGAAAGAAACCUGUGGAUGGUUACAAGUUACAGUUUCAGAAGAUGUUUGUUCAAUCAUUACAAAAACUACAGUAUCUGGAAAACUGAGAAAAUAAAGAUAACUAUUUGUUAAUGAAGGA